rnacentral:sRNA from 1 species
UAAUUAGCUAGAGUCAGUCUGCUCUGCUAAUUAUCCCCAAUUACCGGUAGUCUAUAUGUAAUUGUUCUGAGUUGUUCUUAAGCUUUUUGAGUAAUUAUCAUGAGUAAUGUACCACACUUUUAUUAAUUAUCUUUUAGAAUAUAAAUACAGUUAGAAAUUUAUUCAAUUCAGUCAGACUCUUUGGGCCACUAUCUCAUGUUGCUUAUGUCUUCACACUGACUAUCUAGUUGACUGUCCACCAGUCCGUCAGUAGACUAAGCAACAUUGAGUUAAAUUCAUUCUGACUCAUUUGGCUUUUUAAGAAAUAUUUAUUUUUAUCCUGUUCUAUUUUGACUUUAUUUUAUUUGAUUAUUGUUGAUAUUUUAUAAGUUAAUUAAAAUCACUUGAUCAAUAAAUUGUGAAACCUG